ensembl:miRNA MIR2320 microRNA mir-2320
GCUGUCCCCAUGGCACAGGGUCCAGCUGUCGGCUGUAAUACCCGAUGGGUCGAUGAUGGUCCCUGUGUUUGGGGCGAGCAC